AUUGAACGCUGGCGGCAGGCUUAACACAUGCAAGUCGAGCAGGGGAAGGUAGCUUGCUACCGGACCUAGCGGCGGACGGGUGAGUAAUGCUUAGGAAUCUGCCUAUUAGUGGGGGACAACAUCUCGAAAGGAAUGCUAAUACCGCAUACGUCCUACGGGAGAAAGCAGGGGAUCUUCGGACCUUGCGCUAAUAGAUGAGCCUAAGUCGGAUUAGCUAGUUGGUGGGGUAAAGGCCUACCAAGGCGACGAUCUGUAGCGGGUCUGAGAGGAUGGUCCGCCACACUGGGACUGAGACACGGCCCAGACUCCCACGGGAGGCAGCAGUGGGGAAUAUUGGACAAUGGGGGGAACCCUGAUCCAGCCAUGCCGCGUGUGUGAAGAAGGCCUUAUGGUUGUAAAGCACUUUAAGCGAGGAGGAGGCUCUUUUGGUUAAUACCCAAGAUGAGUGGACGUUACUCGCAGAAUAAGCACCGGCUAACUCUGUGCCAGCCGCCGCGGUAA
rnacentral:rRNA from 1 species